rnacentral:misc_RNA from 1 species
GGAAGGAUCAUUAAUGAAUUUUGAAGCCCCUCUUGAGCUGGCAUUGCAAGUGCUCAGAGGGGUCUUUCAUCCAUUCAACCCCUGUGCACUUUGAAACGUAGGUCUGGGUUGAGGUCGCUGUAUGCGCGGCGCCUCGCUUAGCCUCGUUUUAUUACAAACACAUAUCAUUGUCUUGUAGAAUGCAUUGCUCGUCAUGAGCUAAAGUUUAAUACAACUUUCAACAACGGAUCUCUUGGCUCUCGCAUCGAUGAAGAACGCAGCGAAAUGCGAUAAGUAAUGUGAAUUGCAGAAUUCAGUGAAUCAUCGAAUCUUUGAACGCACCUUGCGCUCCUUGGUAUUCCGAGGAGCAUGCCUGUUUGAGUGUCAUGUUAUUCUCAAUCCCUUCUGUUUCUGUGACAGUCGGGCUUGGAUUUGGAGGCUUUUGCUGGCUUUGCAGUCGGCUCCUCUUGAAUGCAUUAGCCGGGCUUGUGCUCGAUGCAACGGUGUAAUAAUUCCUUUUCACCGAUGUAACUUGCAAUUGAAAGUCCGCUUCUAAUCGUCUCUUAUGAGACAUUAUAAGGAGAAUUCCUUUGACACUUUUGACCUCAAAUCAGGUAGGACUACCCGCUGAACUUAAGCAUAUCAAUAAGCGGAGGAAAAGAAACUAACAAGGAUUCCCCUAGUAACUGCGAGUGAAGCGGGAAAAGCUCAAAUUUAAAAUCUGGCGGCUUCGUCGCCCGAGUUGUAAUCUGGAGAAGCGUUUUCCGCGCUGGACCGUGUACAAGUCUCUUGGAAUAGAGCGUCAUAGAGGGUGAGAAUCCCGUCCAUGACACGGACUACCAGUGCUUUGUGAUACGCUCUCGAAGAGUCGAGUUGUUUGGGAAUGCAGCUCAAAAUGGGUGGUAAAUUCCAUCUAAAGCUAAAUAUUGGCGAGAGACCGAUAGCGAACAAGUACCGUGAGGGAAAGAUGAAAAGCACUUUGGAAAGAGAGUUAAACAGUACGUGAAAUUGUUGAAAGGGAAACGCUUGAAGUCAGUCGCGUCUUGCUUGACUCAGCCUUGCCUCGGCUUGGUGUAUUUCAAGUAAGACGGGUCAACAUCGAUUUUGACCGGUGGACAAAGGAAGGGGGAAUGUGGCACUCUUCGGAGUGUGUUAUAGCCUCCUUUCAUAUACAUCGGUUGGGAUCGAGGCCCGCAGCGCGCCCUUGUGGCCGGAGGUUCGCCUCACGUAUCGCGCUUAGGAUGUUGGCAUAAUGGCUUUAAGCGACCCGUCUUGAAACACGGACCAAGGAGUCUAACAUGCUCGCGAGUGUUAGGGUGGAAAACCCUUGCGCGUAAUGAAAGUAAAAGUUGAGAGCCUCCGCAAGGGGGUGCACCGACGCCCGGCCCUGAAGUUCUCUGACGGUGCUGCGGUAGAGCGCGUAUGUUGGGACCCGAAAGAUGGUGAACUAUGCCUGAAUAGGGCGAAGCCAGAGGAAACUCUGGUGGAGGCUCGUAGCGAUUCUGACGUGCAAAUCGAUCGUCAAAUUUGGGUAUAGGGGCGAAAGACUAAUCGAACCAUCUAGUAGCUGGUUCCUGC